rnacentral:rRNA from 1 species
CAGUCGCCGCGGUAAUACGGAGGGGGCUAGCGUUGUUCGGAAUUACUGGGCGUAAAGCGCACGUAGGCGGCUUUGUAAGUUAGAGGUGAAAGCCUGGGGCUCAACUCCAGAAUUGCCUUUAAGACUGCAUCGCUUGAACGUCGGAGAGGUGAGUGGAAUUCCGAGUGUAGAGGUGAAAUUCGUAGAUAUUCGGAAGAACACCAGUGGCGAAGGCGGCUCACUGGACGACUGUUGACGCUGAGGUGCGAAAGCGUGGAGAGCAAACAGGAUUAGAUACCCCCGUAGUCCCUGUCUCUUAUAC